UACGUAGGGUGCGAGCGUUGUCCGGAUUAUUGGGCGUAAAGCGCUCGCAGGUGGUUCGUUGCGUCGUGCGUGAAAUCCCCGGGCUCAACCUGGGAAUGGCCGUUGAAACUGGCGAACUGGAGUGUGGCAGAGGGGGGUGGAAUUCCGCGUGUAGCAGUGAAAUGCGUAGAGAUGCGGAGGAACACCGAUGGCGAAGGCAGCCCCCUGGGCUGACACUGACGCUCAGGCACGAAAGCGUGGGGAGCAAACAGG
rnacentral:rRNA from 1 species